UAUUUAAUUAAUGAAAAAUUCUUAUUUAAUUCAGAAUUCAGUAGAUUCGUUAUUCGAUAACGAAAAUAUCUGAGUCUUUGAAUACGUAAGCUUUUACGAAUCGCGACACUUUUCCUCCCAAAUUGAGAUGCAAACGGUUAGCGAUGCCGGCUGAAUGCAGUAUUGCAUGCACUCCCGAGGCAUUAUUCGAUCGUUAUGUGUACUCUAAUUUCUCCCCCUCUCCCUCACUCGCUGCCACGAAAUUCUGAUGAAAUCAUUCUCGCGUUAUCCUCCAAUCAUCUUACACACCGACAUGUAUUUUCCUCCCCUAUACUAUCUCGGAAUAUCCGAAAUCUCACCCGGAGCGAUCGCACAUUUCGCGAAACAGAACGAAAAUGAUCGAAGCCGCCUAAUUGGCAACCCCUGUGCAACUUUCGACGCGACCCCUGAGUCAUCCACCACAAUUCGAUCUUUGAACUAUAUAGCGACGCGGAAACCGAUAGCGCGUGUUCUCACGAGCUUCGAAAUAUGCACAAAAUUCCUAAAGGCCAGGGUAUUAUCUCCUCAAUCACGAGGGAUUGACACUACCCUUCCGUAAAAAUCUCCCAUGUUGAAAUUCAUGGAAAGCCUUACGCCUGAUUGCGUUAACAAGCCGACGAUUCACACGUCCGAUUUUUUCGGAGCACGCAAAAUGGGGGGAAAACAGGAAAAAUGCCCAUAACAGUGUAUAGUGGAACAAAUUCUUUUUUUUCGAUUUUUAAGGACGUCUCGUCGAACCGAUCGUCCGGUGUAGAGCGGCGACGAUAAUACACCUACCACGCGUCCACCGCCGCACCGCGCCGGUCGAGAUAUAUCAGAGACAUUAUGCAGCCUCGGGCCUCGGGACUCGGGACUCGGAAAAAAAAGGACGACCGGCGGAGUCACGCUACUCGCGCUAGGUGAAUCAAAAUUAAAUUUAGGAGACGCUCAACUUACCACGCUCCGAAUCAUUUUCCGUGAUGAGCAGCGCGCGUCGUAUUAUCCUUCGGCACGUUGCUGGCGAAACGUUGCUGGUCACGCGGGCUCAUCCGGCAAGGAACGAACUCGCUUGCGUUCGAGACAAGAUAGGUUGACGUCGCGACGGCGACACCGGGGGCAACAGGAGAGAACCACGCGCGCGACACCGGCCACAGGGAGAGUAGCCGAGUAAACGGGACUCCAGACUCCAGUACUCUACCGCGCAGCAGUAGCACUGAGUAGCACUCUCGCCGUCCGAGACGAGACGACGAUGAAAUCACGGAACGGAGGCGUUCUUGAAACUUUGGCGGCCCCGCACGCUCUCCUCGACGACGCCGCUCGGCUUCGGCAGUCGGCUGUUCGGCUCCCGCGUGGGGGUGAGAUAUUGAUCCGUCGAUUUGCCCGCGAAACGCGUGCUGCUGCACGUACGUGCAGGAUGAUGCAACUUAGCGCCGAUCAAUGGACGAUCCCCGAUGGCAAACCCGCCACGGUCGAAUCCCUUUCGAGCUCUCUUUCGUUUUCUCGGCUGUCCGGGAUGUAGGACCGAAUAUCAUCAAUAUACUGAGGAAUAAAUCGAGUCGAGUCGUUAAUCUUUUGAUCGAGUAAGUCGAGGUAUCAGAAAUUGACGAUAUAAAAUGUACUUGUUAAAUUAUUCUCUCGUUGCAUCCCUUAACUUGUAAUAUAACGUUUUUUUUUUCCAAAAGAAACAUGUUUACAUACGAUUUAAACAGUUUUAGUAUUUUCCUAUUUAAAAUUAUAAUAAAUAAAACUGCAUUUCUUUAACUUAAUUCUCUCUCCAAGUUUACCAAAUCUUUCUUUUCUCCAAUGUCCAUUUAGAAAUUAAAGAGUAUCGGCUUUAUGAACCUAUUUUAUUAAUUUAUAAAUAUUGCAAAUUUUAUACUCUUCACAUAAAUCUGUUACAUUUUGCUUAAAAUUUUUCGUUUUCUUUUGUUCAACUUCUAAUAUUUGACGAAGCAUAAAAUAUAUUAACUUCAUUAUUGCUGUUACUCUUUAAUUAACAUUUAAUUAUCACACGUAUCAUCUAAAUGAUUGAUAAUAUGCACUUAUAUAAAGGAUAUUAAAUGAGUUACGAAUGAACGCAAAAACUGACGAUGAAAUAUAUCUCUUAAUUCCUUUCGAUAAUGUAUGUACGUUAAUUAAUAAAAGUUUAUUAAUUGUCCUCAAGGUUUUAUGAUUUCAAUAUAUUCUUUUUGAUUAUGUACAUAGUACGUAAAGAUCCAAAAAUUUCCAGCCAGACCCACUUCGAAACCUUGAAACUGAGAUUUCGCCCAUCAGGCGACCCAACUUUUGCUGUUAUAUGCGUAGCCGCAGAGUGCUUCAUUUCAAGUGAUAGGUUUAAUCUUGACUUGAAGUAGACGUAACCCACAAUUUUUUUUAAUGUUCUUCCAGCUGGAAACCGCAGACUUCAUUACGUAUGUUUUUACUUUUUCAUCAGCGACAUUUUCGCUUCAACAUUUCAGCUGCAACUUAUUUAAUAAGUUACCAAUUAUCUUGGAACAUGUGUAUUACAAUAGUUAAACAAUAACGUAAAUAUUCUAUCAAUAUUGCAGAAUAUAUAAUUAUGUAUAUAGAAUCUAUAGUUAUUGCUACAACACAUUUUUUUUACAAUUAUUAAAUUGAUUUGAAUGACAACAAAACAAAUAAAUAUGAAGAGCUCGUUAUACUGCUAAGCAAAAUUAAUACGAUAAACAGGAUAUUGUUGCAUAUUUGUAACUGUUUUGAGUAAGUGAAUGUAAUUUAUUUAAUAAUUAGUCGUUUUAUAUAUGUACAGACCAGCUCUUCUUCGCAAGUUUGCAUUAAAGAAUGAGUAACAUUUAUUGUAUUACUAUUCAAUAAUCAUUAUGCUAAACUACUUUACGACGCUUCCCAUUCCUCCUUCUCUUUGCGCUCUUCUACAACUCGAUUGAGAUAUGGCUGAAGAUA
rnacentral:lncRNA from 1 species